UGGGGAAUCUUGCGCAAUGGGCGAAAGCCUGACGCAGCGACGCCGCGUGUGGGAUGAAGGUCUUCGGAUUGUAAACCACUGUCGGGAGGGACGAAGCUCUGACGGUACCUCCAAAGGAAGCACCGGCUAACUCUGUGCCAGCAGCCGCGGUAAUACAGAGGGUGCAAGCGUUGUCCGGAAUCACUGGGCGUAAAGGGCGCGUAGGCGGCCUGGUAAGUAGGGGGUGAAAUCUCAUGGCUCAACUGUGAGGCUGCCUUCUAGACUGCUGGGCUUGAGCACGGUAGAGGCUGGUGGAAUUCCCGGUGUAGCGGUGGAAUGCGUAGAGAUCGGGAGGAACAUCGGUGGCGAAGGCGGCCAGCUGGGCCGUUGCUGACGCUGAGGCGCGAAAGCGUGGGGAGCAAACAGGAUUAGAUACCCAAGUAGUCCCUGAGCGGGCUGGCAAGGCGCAU
rnacentral:rRNA from 1 species